rnacentral:rRNA from 1 species
GGUAGCCGGACUGAGAGGUUGAACGGCCACAUUGGGACUGAGACACGGCCCAGACUCCUACGGGAGGCAGCAGUGGGGGAUAUUGCGCAAUGGGGGAGACCCUGACGCAGCAACGCCGCGUGAAGGAUGAAGGUCUUCGGAUUGUAAACUUCUUUUAUUAAGGACGAAGAAAGUGACGGUACUUAAUGAAUAAGCUCCGGCUAACUACGUGCCAGCAGCCGCGGUAAUACGUAGGGAGCAAGCGUUGUCCGGAUUUACUGGGUGUAAAGGGUGCGUAGGCGGCUUUGCAAGUCAGAUGUGAAAUCUAUGGGCUCAACCCAUAGCCUGCAUUUGAAACUGCAGAGCUUGAGUGAAGUAGAGGCAGGCGGAAUUCCCCGUGUAGCGGUGAAAUGCGUAGAGAUGGGGAGGAACACCAGUGGCGAAGGCGGUCUGCUGGGCUUUAACUGACGCUGAGGCACGAAAGCGUGGGUAGCAAACAGGAUUAGAUACCCUGGUAGUCCACGCUGUAAACGAUGAUUACUAGGUGUGGGGGGUCUGACCCCUUCCGUGCCGGAGUUAACACAAUAAGUAAUCCACCUGGGGAGUACGGCCGCAAGGUUGCAACUCAAAUGAAUUGACGG